CAAGCACAUGAGAGUUUGCAACAGUCAUCAUCUACCUAGGUUCUUCAGGAAGAGCGUGAUCUUGAUAUUGGGGGAUCUAGAGUCUUCCUAAGAAAUAUUUUUACUGAGACCAACUUGAGCUUACUGUGUAUGGUGUUUGGCAACAGCUAUUCUCAUUCGGAUAGUCAUUCUGUUAAUGAAUUAUCUACUGAUCUAAUGCUUUCUAUGAAAUCAAAAGUAUGCCCUCAUGAUAACAUGCUUUUAGUUCAUCACUGCCAUGAGGCUUUUCUGAUCUCCAUAACUAUUAAUGCACAGUAGUUGAUUGAAAAGAGUUUGGAUUUAUGUUGUAGAGAAAUGCAUGUGGAUCUCCAGGAUAACUUUCAUGCUGUCUAAAAAUGGCAAGAAUAUCUUGUGUCUGUAUGAAAAGCUCUCCAUCCAAUGUAGUAAAUACCAAUGUGGAAACAUUAAUAGCUGCUAGUAUGUAUAUUUUGCUAAGAAUACAGGGUAAUCAAUUUUCAGUAGAUGAAUAGAACAGAGGGCUAAAAGUUUGCCUUCCAUGGAAAACUGCCACCCUGUGAGAGACUGAAUUGUUAUCUCCAGCUAUUUGUCUCAAAGAUUGUUUGUUGUGAGAGACUGGACUGUCAUCUCAAGCCAUUAGUCUCAAGGAUUGUUUGCUGUGAUGAGCCACUUAUCCCAGAGAUGGCUUGUUUAAGCAGGGCACUCCUCUGUCCAUAAGGACAUUACCAGGCCACUGAGGCAUCCAGGGGAGGAGACAGGCUGGAGCCAACAAAGCAUGCAGGAACGUGGAGAUUACCAUUGUCAUGGAAACUGUAGUCUUUGAGAUAAGGUACUGGUUUCUGGUGUUGAUCAUGCAGAGGUCCUGUGCUAGACGAA